AACGAACGCUGGCGGCAGGCCUAACACAUGCAAGUCGAACGUGAAGCCACCUUCGGGUGGUGGAAAGUGGCAGACGGGUGAGUAACGCGUGGGAACGUACCCUUUGGUUCGGAACAACUCCGGGAAACUGGGAGCUAAUACCGGAUGAGCCCUUACGGGGAAAGAUUUAUCGCCGAAGGAUCGGCCCGCGUCGGAUUAGCUUGUUGGUGGGGUAAUGGCCUACCAAGGCGACGAUCCGUAGCUGGUCUGAGAGGAUGAUCAGCCACACUGGGACUGAGACACGGCCCAGACUCCUACGGGAGGCAGCAGUGGGGAAUAUUGGACAAUGGGCGCAAGCCUGAUCCAGCCAUGCCGCGUGGGUGAAGAAGGCCCUAGGGUUGUAAAGCCCUUUCAGCGGGACGAUAAUGACGGUACCGCAGAAGAAGCNCCGGCUAACUUCGUNCCAGCAGCCGCAGUAAC
rnacentral:rRNA from 1 species